rnacentral:rRNA from 1 species
CAAUAGCGUAUAUUAACGUUGUUGCAGUUAAAAAGCUCGUAGUUGGAUUUCUGGGGGGAGCGUCGGCCCGUAUUUACGAGUGCGUGACGUCUCUGUCCAUCCUUGCGGGAAGGCACGGCAUUGAUUUGUUGUGUCGGAUCGCAUCAUUUACUGUGAAAAAAUUAGAGUGUUCAAAGCAGGCUUUCGCUUGAAUACAUUAGCAUGGAAUAAUAAGAUAGGACUUUGGUGCUAUUUUGUUGGUUGAGCCUAAAGUAAUGAUUAAUAGGGAUAGUUGGGGGCACCUGUAUUGCGUUGUCAGAGGUGAAAUUCUUGGAUUUACGCAAGACAAACAGCUGCGAAAGCGUCUGCCAAGGAUGUUUUCAUUA